rnacentral:lncRNA from 10 species
UAGGAAAACAAGCUUAUGUUACUAUAGAAGAAUGAGAGAUCACCUGGGCAAAUAUAAGACAUUUUAGAUGAUCCAUAAUAGAAUUACUAACCUCCAGUCUGUCUGCCAGCUCCACAAAGACACAAGAGCAAACCCAGAAAUUCUGAGAACCUUCCUUGAAAUCAUUGAACAGCAAAUGAACAAGCUGUUGCCAACCUGGGGUAGAAGACAGCAGAAUUCCAGCAAGUUUCCUGAAUGGAUUCCCAU